rnacentral:rRNA from 1 species
GCCAGACUCCUACGGGAGGCAGCAGUGGGGAAUAUUGGGCAAUGGAGGAAACUCUUACCCAGCAAUGCCGCGUGAAUGAAGAAGGUCUUCGGAUUGUAAAGUUCUUUAAUUGGGGACGAAAAAAAUGACGGUACCCAAGGAAUAAGCCCCGGCUAACUACGUGCCAGCAGCCGCGGUAAUACGUAGGGGGCAAGCGUUAUCCGGAUUUACUGGGUGUAAAGGGAGCGUAGACGGCAAUACAAGUCGGAAGUGAAAUACCCGGGCUCAACCUGGGAACUGCUUUGGAAACUGUAUGGCUGGAGUGCUGGAGAGGUAAGCGGAAUUCCUAGCGUAGCGGUGAAAUGCGUAGAUAUUAGGAGGAACACCAGUGGCGAAGGCGGCUUACUGGACAGUAACUGACGUUGAGGCUCGAAAGCGUGGGGAGCAAACAGGAUUAGAUACCCCAGUA